GCCUACAGCCACACCACCCUGAAAGCACCCGAUUCCGUCUGAUCUCGGAAGUUAAGCAGGGUCAGGCCUGGUUAGUACUUAGAUGGGAGACCGCAUGGGAAUACUGGGUGCUGUAGGCU